rnacentral:rRNA from 1 species
CCUACGGGGUGCAGCAGUCGAGAAUCAUUCACAAUGGGGGAAACCCUGAUGGUGCGACGCCGCGUGGGGGAAUGAAGGUCUUCGGAUGGUAAACCCCUGUCAUGUGGGAGCAAAUUAAAAAGAUAGUACCACAAGAGGAAGAGACGGCUAACUCUGUGCCAGCAGCCGCGGUAAUACAGAGGUCUCAAGCGUGGUUCGGAAUCACUGGGCGUAAAGCGUGCGUAGGCUGUUUCGUAAGUCGUGUGUGAAAGGCGCGGGCUCAACCCGCGGACGGCACAUGAUACUGCGAGACUAGAGUAAUGGAGGGGGAUGCGGAAUUCGCGGUGUAGCAGUGAAAUGCGUAGAUAUCGAGAGGAACACUCGUGGCGAAGGCGGGUUCCUGGACAUUAACUGACGCUGAGGCACGAAGGCCAGGGGAGCGAAAGGGAUUAGAUACCCGAGUAGUC